rnacentral:rRNA from 1 species
GGGUUGUGAGGUUAAGCGACUAAGCGUACACGGUGGAUGCCCUGGCAGUCAGAGGCGAUGAAGGACGUGCUAAUCUGCGAAAAGCGUCGGUAAGGUGAUAUGAACCGUUACAGCCGGCGAUGUCCGAAUGGGGAAACCCAGUGCAAUUCGUUGCACUAUCGUUAACUGAAUACAUAGGUUAACGAGGCGAACCGGGGGAACUGAAACAUCUAAGUACCCCGAGGAAAAGAAAUCAACCGAGAUUCCCCCAGUAGCGGCGAGCGAACGGGGAGCAGCCCAGAGUCUGAAUCAGCUUGUGUGUUAGUGGAACGGUCUGGAAAGUCCGACGGUACAGGGUGAUAGUCCCGUACACCAAAAUGCACAGGUUGUGAACUCGAAGAGUAGGGCGGGACACGUGGUAUCCUGUCUGAAUAUGGGGGGACCAUCCUCCAAGGCUAAAUACUCCUGACUGACCGAUAGUGAACCAGUACCGUGAGGGAAAGGCGAAAAGAACCCCGGCGAGGGGAGUGAAAAAGAACCUGAAACCGUGUACGUACAAGCAGUGGGAGCACCUUCGGGUGUGACUGCGUACCUUUUGUAUAAUGGGUCAGCGACUUAUAUUCUGUAGCAAGGUUAACCGUAUAGGGGAGCCGCAGGGAAACCGAGUCUUAACUGGGCGUUAAGUUGCAGGGUAUAGACCCGAAACCCGGUGAUCUAGCCAUGGGCAGGUUGAAGGUUGGGUAACACUAACUGGAGGACCGAACCGACUAAUGUUGAAAAAUUAGCGGAUGACUUGUGGCUGGGGGUGAAAGGCCAAUCAAACCGGGAGAUAGCUGGUUCUCCCCGAAAGCUAUUUAGGUAGCGCCUCGUGAACUCAUCUUCGGGGGUAGAGCACUGUUUCGGCUAGGGGGUCAUCCCGACUUACCAACCCGAUGCAAACUACGAAUACCGAAGAAUGUUAUCACGGGAGACACACGGCGGGUGCUAACGUCCGUCGUGAAGAGGGAAACAACCCAGACCGCCAGCUAAGGUCCCAAAGUCACAGUUAAGUGGGAAACGAUGUGGGAAGGCACAGACAGCCAGGAUGUUGGCUUAGAAGCAGCCAUCAUUUAAAGAAAGCGUAAUAGCUCACUGGUCGAGUCGGCCUGCGCGGAAGAUGUAACGGGGCUAAACUGUGCACCGAAGCUGCGGCAGCGACACUAUGUGUUGUUGGGUAGGGGAGCGUUCUGUAAGCCUGCGAAGGUGGCCUGUGAGGGUUGCUGGAGGUAUCAGAAGUGCGAAUGCUGACAUAAGUAACGAUAAUGCGGGUGAAAAGCCCGCACGCCGGAAGACCAAGGGUUCCUGUCCAACGUUAAUCGGGGCAGGGUGAGUCGACCCCUAAGGCGAGGCCGAAAGGCGUAGUCGAUGGGAAACAGGUUAAUAUUCCUGUACUUGGUGUUACUGCGAAGGGGGGACGGAGAAGGCUAUGUUAGCCGGGCGACGGUUGUCCCGGUUUAAGCAUGUAGGCGGAGGUUCCAGGUAAAUCCGGUACCUUUUUAACGCUGAGGUGUGAUGACGAGGCACUACGGUGCUGAAGUAACAAAUGCCCUGCUUCCAGGAAAAGCCUCUAAGCAUCAGGUAACAUUGAAUCGUACCCCAAACCGACACAGGUGGUCAGGUAGAGAAUACCAAGGCGCUUGAGAGAACUCGGGUGAAGGAACUAGGCAAAAUGGUGCCGUAACUUCGGGAGAAGGCACGCUGAUAUGUAGGUGAAGCCCCUGCGGGUGGAGCUGAAAUCAGUCGAAGAUACCAGCUGGCUGCAACUGUUUAUUAAAAACACAGCACUGUGCAAACACGAAAGUGGACGUAUACGGUGUGACGCCUGCCCGGUGCCGGAAGGUUAAUUGAUGGGGUUAUCCGUAAGGAGAAGCUCUUGAUCGAAGCCCCGGUAAACGGCGGCCGUAACUAUAACGGUCCUAAGGUAGCGAAAUUCCUUGUCGGGUAAGUUCCGACCUGCACGAAUGGCGUAAUGAUGGCCAGGCUGUCUCCACCCGAGACUCAGUGAAAUUGAACUCGCUGUGAAGAUGCAGUGUACCCGCGGCAAGACGGAAAGACCCCGUGAACCUUUACUAUAGCUUGACACUGAACAUUGAGCCUUGAUGUGUAGGAUAGGUGGGAGGCUUUGAAGCGUGGACGCCAGUCUGCGUGGAGCCAACCUUGAAAUACCACCCUUUAAUGUUUGAUGUUCUAACGUUGGCCCCUUAUCGGGGUUGCGGACAGUGUCUGGUGGGUAGUUUGACUGGGGCGGUCUCCUCCCAAAGAGUAACGGAGGAGCACGAAGGUUAGCUAAUCCUGGUCGGACAUCAGGAGGUUAGUGCAAUGGCAUAAGCUAGCUUGACUGCGAGCGUGACGGCGCGAGCAGGUGCGAAAGCAGGUCAUAGUGAUCCGGUGGUUCUGAAUGGAAGGGCCAUCGCUCAACGGAUAAAAGGUACUCCGGGGAUAACAGGCUGAUACCGCCCAAGAGUUCAUAUCGACGGCGGUGUUUGGCACCUCGAUGUCGGCUCAUCACAUCCUGGGGCUGAAGUAGGUCCCAAGGGUAUGGCUGUUCGCCAUUUAAAGUGGUACGCGAGCUGGGUUUAGAACGUCGUGAGACAGUUCGGUCCCUAUCUGCCGUGGGCGCUGGAGAAUUGAGGGGGGCUGCUCCUAGUACGAGAGGACCGGAGUGGACGCAUCACUGGUGUUCGGGUUGUCAUGCCAAUGGCAUUGCCCGGUAGCUAAAUGCGGAAGAGAUAAGUGCUGAAAGCAUCUAAGCACGAAACUUGCCCCGAGAUGAGUUCUCCCUGAGACUUUAAGUCUCCUGAAGGAACGUUAAAGACGAUGACGUUGAUAGGUCGGGUGUGUAAGCGUAGCGAUACGUUGAGCUAACCGAUACUAAUGAACCGUGAGGCUUAACCUUACAACGCCGAAG